UUGGUGUUUGAGGACGCCCCCAACGGCGUGAAGGCGGCGCUGGCGGCCGGAAUGCAGGUGGUGAUGAUCCCCGACGACAACCUGGACCCCAGCCUUACCCAGGAGGCCACGCUGCGACUCAGGAGCAUGGAGGAGUUUGCGCCGCAGCUCUUUGGGCUGCCAGCGUACGUCUGAGCCGGAACCCUGUGUGCGUUUCAAGAAGCUCGAGCAGCCCCAGGCGUUUGCCUGCAUGAAGCCCCUGCAUAUGCAUGAAACUGCUGGAGACUGGCAGCGUAUUUUUAAACCUAACCUGAGACUUUCUGCACUUUACUACUUCUACAGUAGUACUUCUACAGUCUCUCCAUCUGGUAAUCUGACUUUUCCUAUCUUUUGUAUUGGAAGGGCAUUCCUGUGUGCACACGUCACUAUAGCGAGGUUCUAUGGUAAAGAAUUGUGCGCCCUAAAGGAACAGGAAAUGACUGCAAACGAGUGAGAUAGAUUUUCCAUGUUGUUAUAAAUGAUAGAAAAUAAAAUAUUAUAGAAAAUUUCGAAAAUAACUAACAAACAAUGUUUGAAAAAGUGGUGUGAAUUUUUGAAAGUCACUUUUAGCACAUUUACAACAAUAUUUGUUAACUUGGAAAUGUAUUAAAUAGUUAAAUCUAAAUGCUAAAUAUAAAUAUAAAUGUUAAAUCCAAAUUUAAUAUUUAGCUAACAUGCAAAUUCACACCUCGGGGAGGUCAGGCUAUGUUUAUAGAAUCAAAUAACGAAUUAAAACCACCUCAGCGGGGGGAAAUAAACACUAGAACAUACAUCGUCAUGAUAAUAAUGACCUAAAAUAACAAAAUACAUGUUCAACUUCCACAUCAAGCUUCUUCUUCUUCAUGUGAGACUGGUGGGGUGGCGCCCUCUAUGGACGGGCCACCCAACGGCCAAGUCUGCUGAUAUUUUGUCCAGUUUCCACCGUAAACAGGAUACUUCAAAUAUAUAAUGGGAACAGUAUAUAUAGAACAUGAACUGUAAGGAGAGAUAUUCACGUCAGUAUUGUCUAAGUUGAAUCUUGAGUUUGCCUUGCUUAUUAUAUAUUAUAACUGAGCGAAAAUGAUUUGAAUGUGGCCUGCGCUUUGUUUACUCUUUAUGUUCUGACCUCUCUGCAUAUUGUGCUCUUUUUUUUAAAUGAAAUCCCCUUUGUGACAAAGAGUGUUGUCUUUCUCGUCCUUUAAAGAAAAAAAAAGUUAAUUUCAUAGAAAAAAUGGUUUCUAGCUAAAGGCACAACAAUGAAAUAACAGUUUUUUUGUAAUCGUUAAUAAACAGCUCCCUUGAGGCCUUUUGGCAGGACGACUGUACGCUGGGUCAGCCGUCUUAUGCCCUCACAUCUCACUGAGUCUCUGAUAAAAUCCAUGAGAGAGGCACCGCAGGCUGCGCCCCAUUCAACCCACGGGACUUGGCCAAACCAAAUAGCUCUACGGCUGCAUGUAAAAAGCACAGGCUGUGGCUGGAUUGCCAAGAAGUGGAGCAACGCAGGAGAAUGCGGAGAUCUGACGGGAGCGGGUGCUGCCGCGUGUCAUUUUGGAUUCUGCUGCCAAAGUGUGCAACCUCAACUUGAACCAAAAGGGAUUUUACGGAGAUGAAGAUAUCGAGAAGGAGCACUUUGUCUGUUCGGAGAUAGCAUGCAGAAUAUCGGCAUGCUUCCUCAGUGAUGCAAAUAGACCUCAUGUUUUAUUCAGCUGCCAGUGAUGAGAGAAUACAUUUGGUUACAAAUGCAGGUGAUGGCCAGGGCGAUGUUGGGAAGCAACGUUUGUGGAUUUUAAUGCACAGUCGAGGCCGGCCAAUAUUAGAUUAACGCGCUUCACAACAACGGUGACGUCUCUCGUACAUUUUCAUAUCUCGAGGGUUUGAUACUCCUGAAAUACGAGAAGUUCUUAGCCUGGUCUUCAAGAAAUGCUGCUAUUAUGUGUUUCUGUGUCAGACCACAUUGAUAUGUACAUGGGUAAAUCAUCCGGGGGGAAUCUGUUGGGUCGAGUAUCCCGUGGUGUCACCACAGUGUCACAAUGUCAAAUUUUCCUGAGAAGUUGUUGCGUCGUCUGAUAGACGGCACACUCGUCUCCGCUCGUGCCCUUUAUACAAACACUGGUCCAAACUCUUCAAACGAGGUCAAGGGGGGUGAUGGAGAGAGAUUUGUUUUCGUCAUGUUUUAAAUGAUGGGCCGUCAUUUUGCUGCCAGCUGUUAUUCUGUCUGAUGCUGCGUUCACCACAGAUACUGACAUUCUACAGUCCUGCAUGUCUUUGUCUGUCCUCCUCGAUCUAUAGAUGUAUAGAUAGACUUUAUGCAAAUGUUCAUGGUUACCAGAUACUUUUGUAGUGGGAACAACAAUAAGCAGUGUUUCCUCCAAGUGUAACGGUUCCGUACGUUUGCGUAAUUUCAUUUACCAAAAUAACCGUUCCAUUUUUCGGUGCCCUUCCUUUGGGAUACCAGAGUAAAGGUACGGUGCUGGUAGAGUUAGACCCAUGUUAGGAAAAACCUCACUCCCUUGCGACUUGGUGUUUCUUUAAUGACUAUUUUGAUAAUCGAUUCAUCGGUUUGAAGCUUUCUUCACGAU